GGGAAUAUUGGACAAUGGGGGCAACCCUGAUCCAGCCAUGCCGCGUGAGUGAAGAAGGCCCUCGGGUUGUAAAGCUCUUUUGUCCGGAAAGAAAAGCAUUCGGUGAAUACCCGGAUGUUCUGACGGUACCGGAAGAAUAAGCACCGGCUAACUUCGUGCCAGCAGCCGCGGUAAUACGAAGGGUGCAAGCGUUACUCGGAAUUACUGGGCGUAAAGCGUGCGUAGGUGGUUGUUUAAGUCUGAUGUGAAAGCCCUGGGCUCAACCUGGGAAUUGCAUUGGAAACUGGGCAGCUAGAGUGCGGUAGAGGGUAGUGGAAUUCCCGGUGUAGCAGUGAAAUGCGUAGAGAUCGGGAGGAACAUCUGUGGCGAAGGCGACUGCCUGGACCAGCACUGACACUGAGGCACGAAAGCGUGGGGAGCAAACA
rnacentral:rRNA from 1 species